GGGUUCCUGGGAUGUUAGCCAGUGGUCGCGUCCUUGAGCCGUUAUAAAAACCUCAGGAGAUUCUUUCGCUACGCCAGUGUGCAUACCCAAUAUUAUGGGUCGCCUUCGGUUUAGCUGGGGUCUCCGCCUUGAAUCUCAACGGUUCAGGGCAAACCAACAGCGGCAUCUCCGGGAACAUU
rnacentral:other from 1 species